rnacentral:rRNA from 1 species
CUACGGGGGGCUGCAGUGGGGAAUAUUGCACAAUGGGCGCAAGCCUGAUGCAGCCAUGCCGCGUGUAUGAAGAAGGCCUUCGGGUUGUAAAGUACUUUCAGCGGGGAGGAAGGGAGUAAAGUUAAUACCUUUGCUCAUUGACGUUACCCGCAGAAGAAGCACCGGCUAACUCCGUGCCAGCAGCCGCGGUAAUACGGAGGGUGCAAGCGUUAAUCGGAAGUCUGGGCGUAAAGCGCACGCAGGCGGUUUGUUAAGUCAGAUGUGAAAUCCCCGGGCUCAACCUGGGAACUGCAUCUGAUACUGGCAAGCUUGAGUCUCGUAGAGGGGGGUAGAAUUCCAGGUGUAGCGGUGAUAUGCGUAGAGAUCUGGAGGAAUACCGGUGGCGAAGGCGGCCCCCUGGACGAAGACUGACGCUCAGGUGCGAAAGCGUGGGGAGCAAACAGGAUUAGAUACCCGAGUAGUC